ACACACACACACACACACACACACACACACACACACACACCCCUCAUUUGGUUCUGAACAAGAAACUGCAUGCUGAUAAUUUAGGAAUCAUAUUCUCUCUCUCUCUCUCUCUCUCUCUGUGUGUGUGUGUGUGUGUGUGUGUGU
rnacentral:miRNA from 1 species